rnacentral:rRNA from 1 species
AUUGAACGCUGGCGGCAUGCUUUAUACAUGCAAGUCGAACGGUAACAGGCCGCAAGGUGCUGACGAGUGGCGAACGGGUGAGUAAUGCAUCGGAACGUGCCCAGUCGUGGGGGAUAACUACUCGAAAGAGUAGCUAAUACCGCAUACGAUCUAUGGAUGAAAGCGGGGGACCGUAAGGCCUCGCGCGAUUGGAGCGGCCGAUGUCAGAUUAGGUAGUUGGUGGGGUAAAGGCUCACCAAGCCAACGAUCUGUAGCUGGUCUGAGAGGACGACCAGCCACACUGGGACUGAGACACGGCCCAGACUCCUACGGGAGGCAGCAGUGGGGAAUUUUGGACAAUGGGCGCAAGCCUGAUCCAGCAAUGCCGCGUGCAGGAAGAAGGCCUUCGGGUUGUAAACUGCUUUUGUACGGAACGAAACGGCUCUGGUUAAUACCCGGGGCUAAUGACGGUACCGUAAGAAUAAGCACCGGCUAACUACGUG